UAACCCAUUCAGCAAUGGAUGGCUGAACGGUCAGAAGUCAGCAGAAGUCAUAGUACCCCUACAGGGGAC
rfam:Oceanobacillus iheyensis HTE831 DNA, complete genome.